AGUGGUGGCCACUUGGCAAAGUGAGUCCAUCGCAGGGAAGUGGGCAAUUACCGGGGAGAGGAAAAUCAUGGCUUUCUUGCUUCCCAAGAGGGGCUGAACUGGGCUCCCAAUUUCCCUGACACUCCCAGCUCAGCUUGUAGAGGAAUCAGGGAAUGGAGAUGCCUUGGGCUGCAAUUUUCUUUGAGAUGACUGUAAUUUUCCCCUCUUAUCCUCACCGGUAGCUGCUGUGGGACAGAGGCAGGCGGGGCUCUGAAAGCUUUUCCUCAAGCUCCCCUUCAGUGCAGAGCUGUUUUCACGUGCCCACCAGCCAGCAGGAGGUUAUGCUUCUGAUUGUGACCCCCUACUUCUCAGAAGACACUUCGGACUCCGCCCCCGCCUCCAUACCCAACAAUGCCGUGCGGCAUUUCGUGUGACUGGAAUGGAAAUCCAACCUGGCCCUCGAGGGCAGUGAAGCCAGUCCGAAUCGCAGCAGAUGAUGCCCUCUGCAGAGGCCGGGCUCAUGAACGGCCUGGGUGGGUGGAGGUGGGUUGACAGGAUGGGGUGGGCAGGGCAGGGGAGUGCAGGACAGUGACCAGCUGGUCCAGAGAGUCCUGCCAAAUUCAAUCCAGAUAUUACUGGAUUAAUCAGCAAAGGAGGGGGAGCCCCGCCCCCACCCCAUGGAGACACUGAUGAGCACCAUGGGAUAGCUGUGGCUUCCCAGGCAGCCCACGGACCUACAGCUGCCUAUCAGCAGCCAGGGCCUUCUGGGCAGAGCGCCUCGGACCCCCAAUUGCCCUGGGAGGGUGGGUUUUUGGUGUCAGCUUAGUUCAGCUCAGCUGGCUUUUAUAGAGCAUGCACUGGCUGGCUCACUGGGGUGAUGCUGUCGUGGGGUAGAUGAGCAGCAAGGCAGAUUCGCAGGGUUGGGUGCAGGCAGCACUCCAUGGGGGCAUGCACGGGGCCCUUGCUUUUCAAGCAGAGGUGGACUGAAGGCUGGGCUUGCAAGGGGGUGGGCUGGGGUGGGCGCUG
rnacentral:lncRNA from 1 species